rnacentral:rRNA from 1 species
GAUGAAGCCCCUCGGGGUGUAAACUGCUGUCAGGGUUCAGCAACACAAUGAGCAGACCCAAAGGAAGGGCCGGCUAACUUCGUGCCAGCAGCCGCGGUAAUACGAAUGGAGCAAGCGUUGUUCGGAAUAACUGGGCUUAAAGCGUAUGUAGGCGGAUCAUAAAGUCAGGAGUGAAAUCCCGAGGCUCAACCUCGGAACUGCUCUUGAAACUCAUGGUCUAGAAUACUGGAGAGGUUGGGAGAAUUCCUAGUGUAGAGGUGAAAUUCGCAGAUAUUAGGAGGAAUACCAGUGGCGUAGGCGCCCAACUGGACAGUUAUUGACGCUCAGAUACGAAAGCGUGGGGAGCAAACAGGAUUAGAUACCCUGGUAG